UACGUAGGGGGCAAGCGUUGUCCGGAAUCAUUGGGCGUAAAGAGCGUGUAGGCGGCUCGGUAAGUCCGCUGUGAAAGUCCAGGGCUCAACCCUGGAAAGCCGGUGGAAACUGUCGAGCUCGAGUCCGGAAGAGGCGAGUGGAAUUCCUGGUGUAGCGGUGAAAUGCGCAGAUAUCAGGAGGAACACCAAUGGCGAAGGCAGCUCGCUGGGACGGCACUGACGCUGAGACGCGAAAGCGUGGGGAGCAAACAGG
rnacentral:rRNA from 1 species